UUUCUUUGGUAACUUUUUUAGGUUAAAAAAUAUACCUUUCUGUCUUUCGUAUCUGUCAGUGAACAUUGCUGUUGUGUUUCAGCCAUGGGUCGUGUACGAACAAAAACCGUCAAGAAGGCGGCUAAGAUUAUCAUUGAAAAGUACUACACUAGACUGACUCUGGACUUCGACACCAACAAAAGAAUAUGUGAGGAAAUCGCUAUCAUUCCUACCAAGCCCCUCCGUAACAAAA